rnacentral:rRNA from 1 species
GACAGAGGGUGCAAACGUUGUUCGGAAUUACUGGGCGUAAAGCGCGCGUAGGCGGAUUUGCAAGUCGGGGGUGAAAGCCCGAGGCUCAACCUCGGAACUGCCCUCGAUACUGCAAAUCUCGAGUCCGAAAGAGGUGAGUGGAAUUCCUAGUGUAGAGGUGAAAUUCGUAGAUAUUAGGAAGAACACCAGUGGCGAAGGCGGCUCACUGGCUCGGUACCGACGCUGAGGCGCGAAAGCCAGGGGAGCGAACAGG